CAGCAUUGUUCAAUGGCCUUUGGUUUUCUGGGUAACCAGUUAGGUCUGAAAACAAUGCAAGAGUAAACUUCCUUUUUCCACGAGAAUCAUCUCUGCAGUGGGAUGUUCCUAUCGACAAAAGGUUACAUAC
ensembl:snoRNA